rnacentral:rRNA from 1 species
GGCGGACGGGUGAGUAACGCGUGGGAAUCUACCUAGUAGUGGGGGACAACUACCGGAAACGGUAGCUAAUACCGCAUACGCCCUAUGGGGGAAAGGCUUCGGCCGCUAUUGGAUGAGCCCGCGUCAGAUUAGCUAGUUGGUAGGGUAAAGGCCUACCAAGGCAACGAUCUGUAGCUGGUCUGAGAGGACGAACAGCCACACUGGGACUGAGACACGGCCCAGACUCCUACGGGAGGCAGCAGUGGGGAAUAUUGGACAAUGGGCGAAAGCCUGAUCCAGCAAUGCCGCGUGUGUGAAGAAGGCCUGCGGGUUGUAAAGCACUUUCAGUUGGGAAGAUGAUGACGUUACCAACAGAAGAAGCACCGGCUAAAUCCGUGCCGGCAGCCGCGGUAAUACGGAUGGUGCGAGCGUUAAUCGGAAUUACUGGGCGUAAAGCGCGC